GGACAGGUGGCCGAGUGGCUGAAGGCACCGGUUUGCUAAACCGACGUAGGGGGAAACCUCUACCGCGGGUUCGAAUCCCGCCCUGUCCG
rnacentral:tRNA from 1 species